UCAGCAAGUGAAGCGGCAAAAGCUCAAAUGAUGAAAUCCCCCCGGGGUAGUUGUAAUUUGAAGAUUGCGUCUUGGAGGCGACCGUGGUCUAUGUUCCUUGGAACAGGACGUCACAGGAGGGUGAGAAUCCCGUGCGGCACGGCCCCGGCUCCUUAUAAGGCGCUCUCGACGAGUCGAGUUUUUGGGGAAUGCAGCUCAAAGUGGGUGGUAAAUUCCAUCAAAGCUAAAUACAGGCGAGAGACCGAUAGCGAACAAGUACAGUGAUGGAAAGAUGAAAA
rnacentral:rRNA from 1 species